AAAAUAAUCCUACCCUUGUGAAUUUUGUUUGUUUGAAUAAUUUUUUUUUUUAAAAAAUUAUUGGAGUCUUUCCCUUUAGAGUUUGCUUUUGAGUUUGUAAAAGAAUUCGAAAACAUCUAAAGGGGAUGGUCAAUAAUUUUUUUGAAAAAAGACAUUUUUAAAAUUAAACUUUUUGUAUUCAUUUGUCUAAAAUUAUUUUUAUAAUAUAAAAACAACUUUUGACAAUGGAUCUCUUGGUUCUCGCAACGAUGAAGAACGCAGCAAAAUGCGAUAAGUAGUGUGAAUUGCAGAAUACGUGAAUCAUCGAAUCUUUGAACGCAUAUUGCACUUUUUUAGUUUACUAAAAAGUAUGUCUGUUUGAGUAUCAGUAAAAUAUUCUCAUAAAAUCAUUGUAUUUUUAUGGUUAUGAGUGUUUUACAACGAUACAAGUUGUUUCACUUUAAAUUUUUUUUUAAUAUUGAAAUUUUUCUAAUUUUAAUAAUUAAAAUUGGAUAAAAUUUUCCCGUCAAAAGGAAUAACCUAAACAAUUUUAAAUGAUUAAUUUUAGCAAAAUUUUCGUAAAAAAGGAAAAUUUUUAUUAAAAUAACUUGAUCUCAAAUCAGAUAAGAGUACCCGCUGAACUUAAGCAUAUCAAUAAGCGGAGGAAAAGAAACUAACAAGGAUUCCCUUAGUAACGGCGAGUGAAGCGGGAAGAGCUCAAAUUUGAAAUCUUCAAGGUUUUACCUUGACGAAUUGUAGUUUAAAGAAGUGUUUUCUGCUGAAGUUUUGGUAAAAGUUCUUUGGAAUAGGACAUCAUAGAGGGUGAGAAUCCCGUAUUUGACCAUUAUUUUCAGCUUUGUGAUACACUUUCAAAGAGUCGGAUUGUUUGGGAAUGCAGUCCAAAAUGGGUGGUAAAUUUCAUCUAAAGCUAAAUAUUGCGAGAGACCGAUAGCGAACAAGUACCGUGAGGGAAAGAUGAAAAGAACUUUGAAAAGAGAGUUAAACAGUACGUGAAAUUGUCAAAAGGGAAGCGUUUGACACCAGUGUUGUUUCUCGAAAAUCAAUUAAAAAUGGCUCGAUUUUGUAUUGCUUAGACCUUAAAAGCUCACUGUACAUUUUUCGUGUCUUUUUUAAUGCACCUUUCGUUUAACAAGUCAACAUCAGUUUCUUUUGUUGUAAAAGGGUCAUUGGAAGGUGGCUUUCUUUUCGGAGAAAGUGUUUAUAGCCUUUGGCCUCUGCAAUCGAGAGACUGAGGUCUGCAGCGUAGACUCUUCGGGGUUAGAUACAUUUGUGCUAAGUUAUAGCUUUUUAUAGACAACUUGUUGACUAUAAUUAGUCUUGUAGCUUACUCGCUUAUGCUAUUUUACCUACGCUUAGGAUG
rnacentral:misc_RNA from 1 species